UGACUCAGCGCCGGGGGCGGGGCGGGGUGGGCAGCGGGGUCCCCUCCCCGCGGGGCGCAGGAGCUUCGCCCUGUCGGCCUUACUGCCUUUUGAGCGGAGGCCGACCUUGGGCCUGGCUGCGGUGCAGGCUCGCCCACCCAGCCGGCUCUGUGCGCGGUCCGACCGCUGGAAUCCCGGAGGGGCUCGGAAGUUUUCAUUUGGGGUCGGGAAAGGCCUUGAACUUGCUCAGAGUUGUGGGGUGAAGCCACAGAUUUCUGGAGGCAUUUGGGGGACGUGAAGAACGUCAAAGGCAAAUUGGUGCUGGCAGUUACUAUGUUGUGGUUUUCACCUGCGGUCAAACCUCAGAUAAAGAAACUGACUAGAGAAACAACUCGAGGGAUGGAGGUGUGGACAACUAAGCUGACAUCUGCCUCUCCAGGAUCUUAUCUUGUGUAUAGUAGUUCCUCUGUGGAUGUUGGUGGGAUGAAUAAAUGAAAGAGGAGCACAUAGAUGCUGGAUUCGAUGGAGAAUCGCCCUGAAGAUCCUUAGCUGUGCCUCUUCUCUCUGGGGCUGGGGCGCAGCUGGAGGGACUGGAGGCUGUCUGCAGAGGGGACGUGAGGGGAGAUUUAACUGAAGAGGUGACACUUGAGCUGGACCUUGAAAUUGGAAUUCUCCUGGCAGAUGGGAGUAAGUCAACUGCAUCUUUGGAGAAUGUUGUGCAGUAUUUUGUCAGUGGAAUGAGGUCAGUGGAAGGUGGAGAGGAGUAGGGUAAAGACAGGAGAUUGUAUGUGAAGGUCUAUCUGUGUUUAGCAGAGAAGGGCCUUCUUAGGCCGUACGGACUUUGGACCUUAUCCUGAAGGUAGAGGGACAACUUGAACCGACUGUGUUGCAGAAAGACCACUCUGGCAGCAACCUGGAGGAUGGAUUGGAAGCAUCAAAGAUGAAGAGAGACACUGGGUGGAAAUGGGUUAGACUGUCACAGGAGGGAAUGUUUGAGGACCUCAACUGUGGGAUUAGAGAAGAGGGUUGGACUAGAUAAUCCCUAAACUCACUACCUAGGCCUUUGGUCCUUUUUGCACCUGCCCCUCUCACCCUGUUCCUACUUGGUUACCUUGAUGGACCAUCUCCCAGGGAGAUGGAGCAUGAGCUUCCCCAUUCCCCCAUGGGGACCUGUUUGGAUUUUGACCCUAUCCAGUGUGCCUGUUUGUCAGUUUUGUCCUCCCAGUAGAAAGCUGUACUCUGUCUUGGGGUCCUUUCCACUCCCACCUCCAUCCGGCCCUGACUGUGCUCUCUCCUCCGGCCUUGGACCGUGGGUCUCCAGACUGGCAGUGACAACUCUGCUGUCCUUCCCAUUAUUCUUUCCAAGAGGAAGGAUGAGACGCCAUGUCUCAUUGGAAGAUGUUGACAAACAGGAACUAGAAAAACAGAUUAAAGGAACCUUGGGACUUGGUCAGAGAGCAGAAGUGAAAUACAGGAAAUGCAGGGCAGUCCCACAGAAUGACCCAGCAAGUCUGAACCCCUUGAUUUAAAUUCAGCUCAGUUCUAUAAAAGGUAACCCUAAAACCAGAGGUACAUGUCUUCUCCUAAUCACUUCACUGUUAUCCCAGGUGAGGGUUACACAUGCUACCCUUUCUUGUUCACCUUGUCUGUGAAGCUGUCAUCUCAUGAUUCUUGGGCCUAUAGACUUCAGCAACCAGUCAACAAAGAGGUUUUUGGUACUUACUGUGUGCCCAGCCUCACGCUGGCUGGGAUAGGAUACAGACGCCCCCUGACUGUGUUCCCAAGGAAUCUGGUGUUUUAGUCUAGUUGGAAAAGCAAAACAGACAUAGAGAACAGAAAAGGUGAGUGGUUAAGAGGGCGGUUAAGAUUGGGUGGGACGUGCCGCAGAUACCAUAGAACCUGAGAAAGUAAGAAGCAGAUGGUCUGGGUCUCUUGGGUUCCCUCAAGUUGGGGGCAAGAUCCAGCCUAGAUCUAGCUGAAGCUGGAUCACAACCAGCCUCAGGGUAAGAUUGGGGGCCGAGCAGACUUCAAGGUGCUCUUACACGGGCUUCGUCCCUGUUUCCCAAAUGUUUACAAUGUUUCUGUAGUCUGCACCUGUCUGCUUCUCCACAUUCUCCAUUGACCCUUCAAGGCCCAGCGCAAAUGCUUUUUUUUUUUUUUCUUUUUCAGGACGACACUUUCCUUUUUUUUAAAAAAAUAUUUAUUUAUUUGGUUGCACUGGGUCUUAGUUGUGGCAGGCGGGCUCCUUAGUUGCAGCACCUGGGCUCCUUAGUGGCAGCAUACGAACUCUUAGUUGUGGCAUGCAUGUAGGAUCUAGUACUCUGCCCAGGGAUCAAACCCGGGCCCCCUGCAUUGGGAGCGUGGAGUCUUAUCCACUGUGCCACCAGGGAAGUCCCAAGACACUUUCCUUCUUAACAGUCGGAACUGUCGCUGAUCCUCCGCAGCCCUUUGCUGAUAAUUCUGUUGUGACAUUUACUCCAUCUUUUUAUAUGUUUGUGAAUGUCACGUAUCUGGUUACAUAUUUGUGUUUUCUUCACUUCCACUAGAUUGUGAGCUUCUCAUUAGCAGGGAACAUGUCUGGUUCAUUUUUCUAACUCCCAGGGACUAGCCCAGAGUGGUGCCCUGCUCAAAAACAUCUGUUCAAUGAAUGGACAGCAGUUUGACAGGUAACCUUCUCCGUGGUGUAUCAGUUAUAUAAAAUCAGUUGUGUAAAAUAAUCCUAAAACCAGAAUGGGGAGGUGCCUGCUUUCCGGGGACAACUUCUGGCAGAGGAACAGCAAGAUGAAAGGUCAUUAUAGGGAAUUCCCAGUGGUUAGGACUCCAUGCUUCCACUGCAGGGGACCUGGGUUUGAUCCCUGGUCAGGGAACUAAGAUCCCGCAGAAUGCACGGGCAUGGCCAAAAAAAAAAAAAAAAGAGAAAGAAAGAAAGAAAGGUCAUUAUAGGUUGGACUUGUGUGGAUACACAAGAGAAGGGUGUCCAACUGUCUCUUGGUCUUGACCCUCAGGACCAAAGGGACAAAAGCAGGGUAUGAGUGUCAAGAAUGCCCUCCCUUAGGUUAUGGAAAGUCUUGGAAUCAGAAGUGUUAGGGAUUAGUUCUGAGCCAAUCUCUGGUGACAAUAUACUUGCUUUAUUAACCUUUAUGGGAUUGUUCUUUGACCCAAAUGAGGUAAGAAAUAUGUGACUUCUUUGAAAAAUGUAAAGUAUUACUGGAAUAUCAGGCAUCCUUGUAUUCUCCUCUUACUCCUGAUCCUUACUUCUCUUUCAUUCUUUCGGUAACAAAAUUCUCAAAUCAGCAGCCACUAAGGCCAGCUGGGAAGAGCUUAGGCAGUCUCCCUUUGAGUUCCCAUUUAGGCCCAAAGACUAGAUCCAAGGUGGUAGAGAGGGAAGAACAUGGUUUUUUGUCUUCUAAACCAGGUGACCUUGGGUAAAUCACUUCAACUCUCUGAGCCUCAGUUUCCUCAUCUGUAAAGUGGAGAUAAUAAUCUUUACCCUGCCCACUUUCUAGGGCUCCUGGGAGGGUCAAAUGAGACAAUGAACAUGACAGUGCCUUGUAAACUGUAAAGGUCUGUUCAAAUGCUAUGGAUUUACUUUUUAAUCUGUGCUGGAGGGCCCUAGAUAAAAUUUGCCGGUUGUAAGAUGGUUGUAAGUUUAGACAGUGACAUCAUACUGGCCUGUGAUUGGAGUCCAGGGUGGGGCAGAGAAGGCGGGCCCAGAGUCACAGGGGUGGGUAGAAUGCAUCAGGGACCCCACCCACUGCCUGCUGGAGAAGACCUGAGUCUGCUGUCACUCGUUUUAAUGACGUGAAGAAAUUCAGUCUCCUGGUUUCCAAACUGUCAAAGGCUCUGCCGUGACCACUGUGUUCAGGAGAGACUUGGAUUCAAGUUCAAGGAUUGGGGCCACUCUGAUUUGGUUCUCUGUCUCCAGGGUCUUUCUUAGCUUGGUGCCCGUGAUAAAGGUAGAAUAGGAUAGUUUACAGGUAGUUGUAGAAGUCCCAGUAGGGGACUAUAGAUAGAGAGGGAAACCUAGGAAACUUUGGAAGACCACUGUAAGUUAAUGAUCACUCAAGAAAGCUACUGGAACAUCCUGGAACAGGCAGACUUGCUUAACUAUGAAGCCAUAAAUAAAAGCACGAGAUAUGCCCUAGGCCAUUAAGUGGAAGAAAAAUGUCACCACCCUUCUACUGAUUUGAAUAAGUGCUAUGAUAAUCCUAGUUUGACCUCAUGGGGUCAGACACCCUCCUGCCUGAUACAGAGGAGGAACUAGUGAUGUAAGCCUCAUGUCUACCCGAAGGAAGGCGGUCUCUUCCCCACCCUCUUUCCCUUGACUAUAAAACUGUAGCCCACUUAAUCCUCAGGGCAGAGCUCCCUCACCUCCCCACUUGCAUCUCUUACAAGCAUCUUGUAUUAACAGAUCUGCUUCUUGCCUAUCACUUUUCCUCUUGCUGAAUUCCCUCUGCGCUGAGACACAAAGAACCUGAGCCUCAGUAAGUCCAGAUACGAGGUGAGUGAUUCUAAUUAAAAGACCGUGGGUUCAAGUCCCAAUCAGGGUUUUGGCUGGGUUCGAGUCCUGGCACGUGGGUUCAAGUCCCAAUCUGAGGUGUACUGUUUUGCCCAGACAUGGUGGGCAUCCAAAAUAAACCUGUUGUUGAACAAAAUACAGGUAGUGCAUUUUGUGAGAUCUCUCAUCCUCUUUAUUCUCACUUCCUUUGUGUUUGCAAAUUCCAGGUGUAGGUAAACAUUAAAACACACACACACACA